UGCGGAAGUAGUUCAGUGGUAGAAUACAACCUUGCCAAGGUUGGGGUCGCGGGUUCGAAUCCCGUCUUCCGCNGC
rnacentral:tRNA from 1 species